rnacentral:rRNA from 1 species
UGGACGCCAGUCUGCAUGGAGCCGACCUUGAAAUACCACCCUUUAAUGUUUGAUGUUCUAACGUUGACCCGUGAUCCGGGUUGCGGACAGUGUCUGGUGGGUAGUUUGACUGGGGCGGUCUCCUCCUAAAGAGUAACGGAGGAGCACGAAGGUUGGCUAAUCCUGGUCGGACAUCAGGAGGUUAGUGCAAUGGCAUAAGCCAGCUUGACUGCGAGCGUGACGGCGCGAGCAGGUGCGAAAGCAGGUCAUAGUGAUCCGGUGGUUCUGAAUGGAAGGGCCAUCGCUCAACGGAUAAAAGGUACUCCGGGGAUAACAGGCUGAUACCGCCCAAGAGUUCAUAUCGACGGCGGUGUUUGGCACCUCGAUGUCGGCUCAUCACAUCCUGGGGCUGAAGUAGGUCCCAAGGGUAUGGCUGUUCGCCAUUUAAAGUGGUACGCGAGCUGGGUUUAGAACGUCGUGAGACAGUUCGGUCCCUA